rnacentral:rRNA from 1 species
UGCUUUACACAUGCAAGUCGAACGGCAGCACGGGGGCAACCCUGGUGGCGAGUGGCGAACGGGUGAGUAAUACAUCGGAACGUGCCCAGUCGUGGGGGAUAACGUAGCGAAAGCUACGCUAAUACCGCAUACGAUCUGUGGAUGAAAGCGGGGGACCGUAAGGCCUCGCGCGAUUGGAGCGGCCGAUGGCAGAUUAGGUAGUUGGUGGGGUAAAGGCCUACCAAGCCGACGAUCUGUAGCUGGUCUGAGAGGACGACCAGCCACACUGGGACUGAGACACGGCCCAGACUCCUACGGGAGGCAGCAGUGGGGAAUUUUGGACAAUGGGCGCAAGCCUGAUCCAGCCAUUCCGCGUGCAGGAUGAAGGCCCUCGGGUUGUAAACUGCUUUUGUACGGAACGAAAAGGCGCGGGUUAAUACCCCUGUGCUGAUGACGGUACCGUAAGAAUAAGCACCCGGCUA